UUGUGGAGGAGGACGCCGAAGGUGGGGCUAAUGACUGGGGUGAAGUCGUAACAAGGUAGCCGUACCGGAAGGUGCGGCUGGAUCACCUCCUAACAGGGAGACAACAAAAUGUAAAUAUUAAUUUUGUCACCUUAGGUCGAUCGGUAUCUCAGAUUCUUAUUUUUUAAGAAUUUCAGUUUCUAAGUUUUUUCUAGGUCACACCCAUCACUUCUUCCUGGGCCAUUAGCUCAGGUGGUUAGAGCGCACCCCUGGUAAGGGUGAGGUCCCUGGUUCAAGUCCAGGAUGGCCCAUAUCUCUAUGUUGGGGGUAUAGCUCAGUUGGUAGAGCGCCUGCUUUGCAAGCAGGAUGUCAGCGGUUCGAGUCCGCUUACCUCCACUGAAUACCACCUCUUACAUAUUUAAAGAGGGAAAUUGUUUUGAGUCGUGUCCUAAUUUGCUCUGAGCGAAUCUAGCUUCCUAUUUUAUUCAAUAAAUAAGAUGCUGGACUCAUUGAAUUUUUUUCAUUGUUUUCAGAGAACCUUGACAACUGCAUAGAUUAUUUUUGAAGACAAUAAGCAUCUUUAAUGAUGCAGAUUUAUUAUUUGUGCGAAUGCAUUAAAUAGCAAUUCUAUCAAGCUGAUGCUUCAAUUAUUGAAGUUAUUGGUCAAGCUACAA
rnacentral:misc_RNA from 1 species